CGCUGAGGCAGUCUGUGACUGAAGACCGGCCCGCGGAAAGGACCCAGGCGGGGAAGUUUGUGAGGAACUGCAGCCCGCGGGAAGGACUCACCCUGCAGAGGUUCGUGAAGGACUGUCUCCCGCGGGAGGGACCCCACGCCGGAGCAGGGCCGAGUGAGGAGGAGUCCUCCUCCCCCUGAGGAGGAAGGAGCGGCAGAGACAAGGUAGCAUGUGCCAAUGACCGCAGAAGAGCAAUGUUAACCAGAACUUAACCUGACCUGUCUUUGUGAAUAGAACUGAUCCCAUCUCACAUCACUGGGGCACAAGAAAGGUUUUCUCCAGCCAAAACAUUGCAACAGGAGAUUUGCAGUGAAUACGCAGAAGCUGGACUUUGUAUAAGCAGUGCAGAAUCCUCCCCACCACCUGUCCUCUAGGAAAAAAGAAGGACUUCUUCCUCAUUGCCCCUCAGGCCAGCAGGGAAAAUACAGAUUGAAAGAGGUUCUUGAUAUGCCUACUGCCGGACUUGGGAUCUGCAAGAAAAGUCCUGCUUUUCAGCAGACAAACAAUGAGGGUUUCUUAAUCCAAAAUUCAUCUUUGAUGAGCUUGCCUAACAGAUAAGACUAUACUCACCAUGUGUGAAUAAACCAUUUUCUUUUUCAAUGUGAUUCUAAAAUGGAUGAAAUGUAUAGGCAUAGACAAAAAUAUGUUGUGGGUUUGGUUUUUUUUUUCCCUUGAGGUCAUUUCCUUUUUUUGAGUACUUGAAUACAUUCCUUUCAAAUUGUGUUUAUAUAAUAAUAUUACUAUUAGUACAUACUAUUUAUAUCAUAAUGUUCUAUGUUUUACAACACCGAAGAGAAGGACAUGUCUAGCAUGGGAAAUGUUUGUGCUAAUGGCUCUAGUCUUAGCAAAAUUAUAAUUGAUGGCAAUAAGGUCUUAUGAGAAACAUUAGAAAAGCUUAAAAGGAAGUCCUGCUAGCACCAUUGAUACUAAGUUUUGGUUGCAGUCUGUUCCUUCACCCCAACAGCUACCCAGGAGUCCCUUAUUCUUGAGUUUUGCUUUACUCCUGAGCUCUAGACAAAUACAUUUCAUGUUUAUUUGUUGGUGGAUGUUUGUGUACCUGAUUGUGAUUUGCAUUUCCCUUUCAGAUCUGCUAAUUUCACAGUUUUUUGCAGUAUUAUCCUGUGAACUGAACACUAAAGUAAUUUUCUUGUUUAAGACUGGUACUCUGUGGUGGAACACUGCUCUGAAGAGCCAGAUUUGAAUGUUUUUUCGGCAUGUGGGAUUUUUUACUGACUCCAGAAACAUUCUUAUUGAGAUCAUUAUGUUAUUUAUGAGGUGAACAAUGUUUGACCAGCAGCUUUAGAAACUGGCCUGUGUUUAAAAACCUUCCCAUCUGCUGGUACUAGCCUAUCAGUUUUUCCCAGAGAUCUAGUAACAGACGACCUGAACAAGAAAUACUCCUUACUGUUCCCACACAGAAAGGCCAGCCCUAAACUCUAGCACACUGCAUCAUGAGGCAAAAGCUUCCAUGAAGAUGGAGUCAAAUAGGUGAUUAAGUCUAGGCUCAUGCUGGGAGUUGCAUAUAAACAUGAAGCUGUCAGAGGGCAGACUAAAGGUGUGCCAAGGCAGACCUAAUGUAAUAAUGAAGUCAAGCAGGCUGAUAAGUUUCUGUAAGCACAAAAUUCCUUAUAACUAAGUAUUUCCCUUGAAAUAAUUGCUUCCAUGUUCAUGCAUUGAAAUGGAUGAUCAUUCAAAAAAAAAAAAAAAAGGAAGGUGGUUAUAGGAUUGUAUCCAUCCAGAAGAUUAUAUUCAAUCUCAUAAUCCUCAAAGGUGGCAUUACCUCCCCACCCACAUGUGCACACACAAAAUAAAAAAAAAUAGGUAGAAUAAUCUGAUCAUUGCCUUAGAUUUUUUUUGCCAAGUUACUUUAUCAACACAUAUGCAGCGUUCCCAAGGUUAGAAUGUGACAUUCUGGAUUCUAAAAAUUGUUUCUGGAAAUGUUUUGACCUGCACUACAUAAUUUUGAUAAGAUAAACAGAUAUUUUAAUGAUUUCACUAACCAUGUAAAUUAAAUGUAUUUCAGUUGCACAGUCGACAGUGGUUUUUUGCCUUUUGGAGUGUUGGAUUUGGUUUGGUUUUUUUUCAUAAUGCAUGUUAUGAAGCCAUAACGUUUUUAAUAUGCCUCUUUUAAAGGUUACAGAUAUUUUCUCUCAUUUCUGAAUAAACAUUUUUGCUGUAGAUGUUACACUCGGGGAAGUUUUGGAAGUUUACUGUACACCAGGUGCUCUUGAGAGAAGAUAACUCGUUUCAGACUUAUUUAAAAUGUAUCGAAUAAGAUGAUUGCUUACCAACUGGAAAUAUUACAAUUUCACUUCUACAGCAGAAUAUUUCCGUUAGGCCUGUCUGCCUGUCAACACUAUACAUUCUGAUCACCACUUUCAUUUUAUCUUUAUAAGCAUAACCAUCACUAUCAAGUACUGUGGCAGAAUCAUUUAAAGAAAAGUGGGGACAAAAAAAAAAAAAAAAAGCCUGUCUUAAAAACAGUAUUUGCUGCCACUCAAAAAAACCCCCAAACCCAAGAAAGUCUAACUGCUGUCCUUCUUUAACUUUGUACUAGCAAGUUAUUAUUUGGUAUAAAAACAAUAGUGAUUUUCACAUCUUG